UUCCAAUCAUAGAAUCAUAGAGUUGGAAGGGACCAUGCAGACCAUCGAGUCCAACCGCUUGCUAUGAAGGAAAGCACAAACAAAGCACCUUCAACAGAUGGCCAUCGAGUGUCUGCUUAAAAACAUCCAGAGAAAGAGCCUCCACCACACUCAAAGGCAGUGACGAACAGCUCUUAUGGUCAGGAAAUUCUUCCUAAUGUUCAGACCACCUACUGCUUCAUGUGAAGUCAAAAAUGGAAAGAAUUGGACUAGAGAAAGCGGCAUGAAUAAAGUUACAGUUAAGAAAGGACAGAUCUAUCAUACAUCUUUGUCUGCAAAAUUGGUCUUUCUCAAACGUAGGAUGACAAGAGGGUAAUUGUGACAGAGUUAAUCCCAAUGAAGAAGCAAUCAUUCAGAGAGAGAAAAGGGGGAGAAAAAGGAAAAGAGAAUCUGUGCUUUAUGAAUUCAAAACAUAUGUUCAUUAUAUAGGCAAAAAAUCAUGAAAUAACAAAAGUAAUAAAAU